GACGAACGCUGGCGGCGUGCUUAACACAUGCAAGUCGAGCGGUAAGGCCCUUUCGGGGGUACACGAGCGGCGAACGGGUGAGUAACACGUGGGUGACCUGCCCUCAGCUCUGGGAUAAGCCUGGGAAACCGGGUCUAAUACUGGAUAUGACUCCAUGACGCAUGUUGUGGGGUGGAAAGCCUUGUGCGGCUGAGGAUGGGCCCGCGGCCUAUCAGCUUGUUGGUGGGGUGAUGGCCUACCAAGGCGACGACGGGUAGCCGGCCUGAGAGGGCGACCGGCCACACUGGGACUGAGACACGGCCCAGACUCCUACGGGAGGCAGCAGUGGGGAAUCUUGCGCAAUGGGCGAAAGCCUGACGCAGCGACGCCGCGUGAGGGAUGACGGCCUCGGUU
rnacentral:rRNA from 1 species